UUGGCUGCGUGCAGGAUUAAUUCUACAGCAGCCAUAUGUUGUCUCCUUCACGAAAAAGAUCCUAUUUGAACAGCAUACACAAUCAAAUGCUUUAUAGUGGGCAUGGAUGAAGACGCCAUCAACGAGGCCACUGAAGAAACCAGUGUUGGGACAUGGGGG